rnacentral:rRNA from 1 species
UACGUAGGGUGCGAGCGUUAAUCGGAAUUACUGGGCGUAAAGCGUGCGCAGGCGGUUCUUCAAGUCCUUUGUGAAAGCCCCGGGCUCAACCUGGGAAUUGCGAUGGAGACUGCAAGGCUUGAAUCUGGCAGAGGGGGGUAGAAUUCCACGUGUAGCAGUGAAAUGCGUAGAGAUGUGGAGGAACACCGAUGGCGAAGGCAGCCCCCUGGGUCAAGAUUGACGCUCAUGCACGAAAGCGUGGGGAGCAAACAGG